ACUAACAAGGAUUCCCCUAGUAACUGCGAGUGAAGCGGGAAAAGCUCAAAUUUAAAAUCUGGUGGUCUUCGGCCAUCCGAGUUGUAAUCUAGAGAAGUGUUACCCGCGUCGGACCGUGUACAAGUCUCCUGGAAUGGAGCGUCAUAGAGGGUGAGAAUCCCGUCUUUGACACGGACUACCGAGGCUUUGUGGUGCGCUCUCAAAGAGUCGAGUUGUUUGGGAAUGCAGCUCAAAAUGGGUGGUAAAUUCCAUCUAAAGCUAAAUAUUGGCGAGAGACCGAUAGCGAACAAGUACCGUGAGGGAAAGAUGAAAAGAACUUUGGAAAGAGAGUUAAACAGUACGUGAAAUUGCUAAAAGGGAAACGCUUGAAGUCAGUCGCGUUGGCCGGAAAUCAGCCUUGCUUUUGCUGGGUGUACUUUCUGGUUGACGGGCCAGCAUCAGUUUUGACCGGUGGAAAAAGUCUAGGGGAAUGUGGCAUCUUCGGAUGUGUUAUAGCCCUUGGUCGUAUACAUCGGUUGGGACUGAGGAACUCAGCACGCCGCAAGGCCGGGUCUUUGACCACGUUCGUGCUUAGGAUGCUGGCAUAAUGGCUUUAAUCGACCCGUCUUGAAACACGGACCAAGGAGUCUAACAUGCCUGCGAGUGUUUGGGUGGAAAACCCGGACGCGUAAUGAAAGUGAAAGUUGAGAUCCCUGUCAUGGGGAGCAUCGACGCCCGGACCAGAAGUUCUCUGACGGCCCUGCGGUAGAGCAUGUAUGUUGGGACCCGAAAGAUGGUGAACUAUGCCUGAAUAGGGUGAAGCCAGAGGAAACUCUGGUGGAGGCUCGUAGCGAUUCUGACGUGCAAAUCGAUCGUCAAAUUUGGGUAUAGGGGCGAAAGACUAAUCGAACCAUCUAGUAGCUGGUUCCUGCC
rnacentral:rRNA from 1 species